AAUCAACGCUGGCGGCGUGCCUAACACAUGCAAGUCGAACGAGAAAGUGGAGCAAUCCAUGAGUAAAGUGGCGCACGGGUGAGUAACACGUGACUAACCUACCCAGGAGUGGGGGAUAACUGAGGGAAACCUUAGCUAAUACCGCAUAACACCUACGGGUCAAAGGAGCAAUUCGCUUCUGGAGGGGGUCGCGGCCGAUUAGUUAGUUGGCAGGGUAAUGGCCUACCAAGACGAUGAUCGGUAUCCGGCCUGAGAGGGCGGCACGGACACACUGGAACUGAAACACGGUCCAGACUCCUACGGGAGGCAGCAGUGGGGAA
rnacentral:rRNA from 1 species